rnacentral:rRNA from 1 species
AUAUCUGAGGCGCCCGUACCGCAAACCGACACAGGUAGACAGGAAGAGGAUUCUAAGGCCAACGGGAGAAGGGUAGUUAAGGAACUCGGCAAAUUGGUCCCGUAACUUCGGAAUAAGGGACGCCACAGCAAUGUGGCCGCAGUGAAUAGGCCCAGGCGACUGUUUAGCAAAAACACAGGUCUCUGCCAAAUCGAAAGAUGACGUAUAGGGGCUGACACCUGCCCGGUGCUGGAAGGUUAAGAGGAGAUGUGCAAGCAUUGAAUUGAAGCCCCAGUAAACGGCGGCCGUAACAAUAACGGUCCUAAGGUAGCGAAAUUCCUUGUCGGGUAAGUUCCGACCCGCACGAAUGGUGUAACGAUCUGGGCACUGUCUCAAUUACCCGCCCGGCGAAAUUGUAGUACCGGUGAAGAUGCCGGUUACCCGCGACAAGACGGAAAGACCCCAUGGAGCUUUACUGCAGCUUAAUAUUGGGUUUCGAUAAUGUAUGUACAGGAUAGGCGGGAGACUUGGAAGAAGAGGCGCCAGCCUCUUUGGAGUCGCCCUUGGGAUACCGCUCUUAUGUUGUUGGAAUUCUAACCUGCGGCCGUGAAUCCGGCCGGGGGACAUUGUUAGGUGGGCAGUUUGACUGGGGCGGUCGCCUCCAAAAAGGUAACGGAGGCGCUCAAAGGUCAGCUCAGCAUGGACGGAAACCAUGCCUUUGAGUGUAAACGCAUAAGCUGGCCUAACUGCGAGGGUGACGGCCCGAGCAGUAACGAAAGUUGGAGUUAGUGAUCCGGCGGUAUGAGAGUGGAAUUGCCGUCGUUCAACGGAUAAAAGCUACCCUGGGGAUAACAGGCUGAUCUCCCCCAAGAGUCCACAUCGGCGGGGAGGUUUGGCACCUCGAUGUCGGCUCAUCACAUCCUGGGGCUGUAUUCGGUCCCAAGGGUUCGGCUGUUCGCCGAUUAAAGUGGUACGCGAGCUGGGUUCAGAACGUCGUGAGACAGUUCGGUCCCUAUCUGUCGUGGGCGCAGGAUAUUUGAGGAGAGCUGUCCUUAGUACGAGAGGACCGGGAUGGACGCACCUCUGGCGCACCAGUUGUCACGCCAGUGGCACAGCUGGGCAACUAUGUGCGGAUCGGAUAAACGCUGAAAGCAUCUAAGCGUGAAGCCGACUCCAAGAUAAGAUAUCCCAUAGCGUAAGCUAGUAAGGCCCCUUGAAGACUACAAGGUUGAUAGGCUGCGUGUGUAAGUACGGUAACGUAUUGAGCUUGGCAGUACUAAUAGGCCGAGGGCUUGAUCAA